AGGUGUUAAAUACAAUUCGUGGCUAUUCAACACUGCCGCACCCGCGUGAUGCCUUCGUCCAUAAACUAUGCCACCGACCCCGCAACUGUAUCACAACAUCAACGGUAGGCAUGAAUUUCCUUGGAUUCCAAUUUCCAUCGCACGAUUCAGAAUUGGGAUCAUCAGGCCGUCGGCUUCCAUCCUGCAAUCUGUCUAGUGGUGGGAUGGGAUUUUCAUGACCAUUUAGUGGAUUCCAUCGCAUUCUGAAUAUUUAAAUUCGAGUUUUUUCUUCUUGUAGAACAGUGUUGGUAAAUGACUGAAAUACCAUCCUGAUCUAGAAUAGGGUAGAGUUCAUACAUUUGCUGAAACUUAAGAUACGGUAAAAACGUCCUCUAAUGGUCACACUUACACCUAGCAAAAAGGAUUUAUGAUCAUUUCAUUAACUGUAUGAUGUAUCUUUUUUUCUAAGCAUUGUCUUUUUUUUUUUUUUAAGUGUGCAUUUCAGCACAAGUUUUUAGUUACGCAUGUUAAGUCCCAUAAAUGGGGUGUGGCUGUUUCCUACGAAAUCGCCAGUAUGAUCCGGUAUUUGACUUGUUCAGGAUCGCCAAAAGUAAAUAGUUUAAUUUGUUUUAGAUGUAUUAACAAGAUAUCAAUUCCUUUAAUACUCUGGCGGAUCAAAACGGUCAAAUAUCGGAACGUACUGAUGAGUUCGUACGGAACAGGUACAACUCGAACUUAACAUACGUACCGUAGACCUAGUGGUUUUACCGCUGUUACUACUGGUAAACUUCGUGAUAAAGCUUUGUUACCGCCAUUUAGUCGAGACACCUAUGUUAAAAAUUAUCAACUAUUAUGUAAUGCCAUGGAAAUAGCAGCUGUUUCAUUUCGUCUGACGUCGACUGAGAAUAGUAGCUAAAAUGGAGGUUUCGCUCAGUGAAAUUUCUUUGCUGAUUUCGUGGUUUUUAGAUAAAUUUUUAACGUUAAUUAUCCUUUUUCGGCGUUAUAAUAGAUUUGCACUGUGAUGGUAACCUAUACACAAGUCUUAUGUGUGAAAGUUUUAAGUAGAGGCAUCAAGCUACAGUUGGAAAUUAUCAGGAGAAGUAUGGCUGAUUGUUGUUUUGGUAACCAAAUUUGAAUUUUUAGUAAUAUGUAUCAAGGCCUGCACUGUUUGCAGGCCUCUAAGAUGUAUGUAAUAGGCUGUGCUGGGAACAGGACCAUGCUGUGACAGAAAGGAAUGUCACCAAUUUCAUUUUGUCAAUCUAUAUAAAAAUGAAAAAGUUCCCAGUGUCAUUCAUGUAUUUGCUGUAUUUCCUCCUUUGAAGAAAACAAAGUUAAAGCUUAAA